UUUCCGUAGGUGAACCUGCGGAAGGAUCAUUAUCGAGUUUUGAAAGGGGUUGUAAGCUGGCCUUUUCGGAGGCAUGUGCACGCCUCGCUCAUCCACUCUACACCUGUGCACUUACUGUGGGUUUCAGACGUGGGGCGAGCCUUUACCGGCUUGUGAAGCAUCUGUGCCUGCGUUUAUUACAAACACUAUUAAAGUAUUAGAACGUGUAUUGCGACAUAACGCAUUUAUAUUCAACUUUCAGCAACGGAUCUCUUGGCUCUC
rnacentral:misc_RNA from 1 species